rnacentral:SRP_RNA from 1 species
GCCAGGCAUGGUGGCGCAUGCCUGUAAUCCCAGCUACUUGGGAGGCUGAGACAGGAGAAUUGCAUGAACCCAGGAGGUGGAAGUUGCAGUGAGCUGAGAUCGUGCCACUGCACUCCAGCCUGGGUGGCAAAGCAAGACUGCAUAUAAAAUAUAUAUAUAUAGGAGGCCGAGGCAGGAGGAUUGCUGGAGUCCGGGAGGUAGAGGCUGCAGUGAGCUGCGAUCACACUGCUGCAAUCCAGCCUGGGUGACAGAGCAAGACCCUGUGUCAA